UGAGUACGAGAUGCUACGGCAUCGAAGCAGUCUAUGUCAUACUUCCAAGAAAAGCUUGCAAUGUCAUAAACAAAUAAUGCCUGUACCAUAACCGACACAGGUGGGUAGGUAGAGUAUACUAAGGGGCGCGAGAUAACUCUCUCUAAGGAACUCGGCAAAAUGACUCCGUAACUUCGGGAGAAGGAGUGCCUUAUUUUUAUAAGGUUGCAAUAACAAGAUCCAAGCAACUGUUUACCAAAAGCACAGGUCUCCGCUAAGUCGUAAGACGAUGUAUGGGGGCUGACGCCUGCCCAGUGCCAGAAGGUUAAAGAAGUUGGUUAGCAUUAGCGAAGCUGAUAACUGAAGCCCUGGUGAACGGCGGCCGUAACUAUAACGGUCCUAAGGUAGCGAAAUUCCUUGUCGGGUAAGUUCCGACCCGCACGAAAGGCGUAAUGAUUUGGAUACUGUCUCGGAGAGGGGCUCGGUGAAAUAGACUUGUCUGUGAAGAUGCGGACUACCUGCACCUGGACAGAAAGACCCUAUGAAGCUUUACUGUAACUCGAGAUUGAAAUUGGACUUUAUCUGCGCAGUAUAGGUGGGAGACGUUGAAAAUAUUCUUGCGGGAAUAUUGGAGUCAUCAGUGAGAUACCACUCUUAUAAUGUUAGAUUUCUAACUUUGUAUCAUUAUCUGGUCAAAGAACAGUUUCAGGCGGGCAGUUUGACUGGGGCGGUCGCCUCCCAAACGGUAACGGAGGCGCACAAAGGUUUCCUCUGAACGUGUAGAAAUCGUAUCUAGAGUGUAAAGGCAUAAGGAAGCUUGACUGUGAGACCUACAAGUCGAGCAGGGACGAAAGUCGGUCUUAGUGAUCUGACGGUGCUGAGUGGAAAGGCCGUCACUCAACGGAUAAAAGUUACUCUAAGGAUAACAGGCUGAUCUCCCCCAAGAGUUCACAUCGACGGGGAGGUUUGGCACCUCGAUGUCGGCUCAUCGCAUCCUGGGGCGGUAGUACGUCCCAAGGGUUGGGCUGUUCGCCCAUGAAAGCGGUACGCGAGCUGGGUUCAGAACGUCGUGAGACAGUUCGGUCCAUAUCCGGUGUAGGCGUUAGAAUAUUGAGAGGAGCCUUCUUUAGUACGAGAGGACCGAGAAGGACAUACCUCUGGUGUACCAGUUAUCGUGCCAACGGUAAACGCUGGGUAGCCAUGUAUGGAGAGGAUAACCGCUGAAAGCAUCUAAGUGGGAAGCCCACCUCAAGAUAAGUAUUCCC
rnacentral:rRNA from 1 species